rnacentral:rRNA from 1 species
UACGUAGGGUGCAAGCGUUAAUCGGAAUUACUGGGCGUAAAGCGUGCGCAGGCGGUUAUGCAAGACAGAUGUGAAAUCCCCGGGCUUAACCUGGGAAUUGCAUUUGUGACUGCACGGCUAGAGUGUGUCAGAGGGGGGUAGAAUUCCACGUGUAGCAGUGAAAUGCGUAGAUAUGUGGAGGAACACCGAUGGCGAAGGCAGCCCCCUGGGUCAAAACUGACGCUCAUGCACGAAAGCGUGGGGAGCAAACAGG